AUCAUAGCAACAUGGCGGAUAGUCGUAAUGUUUUGAGCUCCGCUUGCUGCAGCAAUAACAGCAGUGAUCUGGCUGAUUUGUUGUCAAAUAUCGUUCAAAAUAACAGCCUUAUUGUUACUGAAGUGUACUCUGUCGACGAAGUUCAUGUACAAGAGCAAAUUACAAGCAAGGAAGAUGAAAUAUUGAAGUUUAUUAACGACACACAGCGGGCCAUUGCUGUAACAUCAUCUGAGGAAGUAAAGGGAAAAUUAUCACAGGACAGUACAGCCGAUCUUUUCGCGAAGAGAGAAUUAAUCUUACAGAUUUGUCAAAGGAAGUUUUCUGAUUGUCCUAAAGAAAAACUGAUAAGACGGCAAACGCGACUUGGUGGUCGAACUGCAAACGAUAAGCUAGCGACCGACAUAAUAACCCUGAUAAAGUAUUAUACUUCAGGUGAAAUAUCUGUUGAAUUUAACGAGAUUUUUAAAAAGUCUACGACUACGAUCACGUCAUCUGAUACAACGCAGGAGACAUUGAAAACUUUAGGUUCUAAGCAUUUUAUAAAAUUAGCCGAAGAUUUGGAUGUCAAACUCUUUCAGUUAAGGUUACAGAACACCUUUGAGUGUUAAUUUUGCCUAAAUUUUUUUUAUUGGUUUCAAUGAAAGCAUUAGACUCGUUGCACUAUCUGACCAAGUUUGGACGAAAAAUGUUGAAAACUCGCAGAGUUAUUUGAUAAAAUACAUUUCGCUGCAAUAAGAAAAACAUUGAAAAUGUAAUAUUCAAAUUCAAUUUUCUCCCGAAAAAUUUUACGGUAAUUACGGAUUUUCAAACGAGUUGUGCUCCUGCGGG